rnacentral:tRNA from 1 species
UGGGGGAUCGUCUAAUGGUAGGACUGCAGAUUCUGAUUCUGCGUAUGAGGGUUCGAAUCCUUCUCCCCCAGCCA